rnacentral:lncRNA from 1 species
CUGCGCCCGCCCCCACCAGGACGGGAGUCGGCACCCCCAGGCUGGGCUCAGUCUCCGGGGUUCCUUCCGGUUCACACCCUCUGUCACUCCGAGAUCCUCUGGGCUCCAGAGCGAGGAACCCUGGGUCUUUGUACACGUGUCUGUGCGCCUGCUGGUGCGGGGUGGGGGGGUGGGGGGGUGGGGUAGAAUGUCUCUUUUGAAUUUCCAUAGCAACUGCUCCGGUGUCACCCUAUUGCUCCCAAAGGUUUAAGCAGUUGCGUUGCAAAUUUACAUAUAUCUGCAUGUCAUUAACAUAGAGGCGGAGCCGGAACUUGUUUGGGCAACUAUCCCUGGACAGUUCUCCUGGCUUUGCUUUCAUCCCGUCCGAUGGCCACCUGGACUGCGCAUGCCUCCAGACAUGGCAGGAGAAACUUCCAGAUGUCAGGGCAGACCGGAUUCCAGCCGUGAGAUGAGAAAUAUUGGCCAGACCAGGUUGGUGCACGGUGGACCCUGUCCUCCACUCCGCUGCCACUCUCAAGGAGUCCACGGUGUCCGGAUCCCUUGUAUUCUUAUGCCGGCACCGGAGUUUAAGGUGGCAGCAGCAGCAGCUGGCUGAGAGGCUGGACUAAGAGGCCUGUGAUGAAGAUGGGGUCCGAGGACUGGAGAGGUCCUGUCUUAGCUUUCACUGAGAGAGGACUGCUGAGCUCUGGGACAACUCCUUUGUCCUUCUUGGACCUCAAUUUCCCUACUGAGGACACUUGGGAGUCUCUGCUGCAACCUGGGGUGGGGUGGGGGUGAAGGGCUGUCUUGCUGCUGCGGGCACUGCAGGGAGUGAGUUCCCCAUUCUUGGGACUAUGCAAGCAGAUGUGUGGCUGGAGCAGAGCAGAACUUUGAGCUGCCUCCUCAGAAGAUGGGGAGUCCUUCCCGAGUCUGUUCUCUGUUCUUCUUGUUCUGGUAGAGCCUCUCUCACUCCCCUUGCUUUCUCCCAGUGACCUUCUGACCUCAACAGCCUUGACUGCUAGAGCCACAUGGAGGCAGAAGAGGCAUUAAAAGGCAAAAUCCAGUUCCAUUCGGUGCUGGGGAUAGCUCUUAUUAGGCUUAAUUAAAAUAAAUGGGAUUGCUUCCUGUCCAGUGUAGAAUAUGUGGCUGGCGAUGAAGAAGGGCAUAGGAGCUUGGCUCUGAUAGGUCAUUUGGCUUCUGGGAGGAGAUAGGGCUGUAUGCAGACCAUACCUUGUGGUUGUCACUCUGACCGCUGUAUACCGGACUGCUCUCUGCUGGCAGUAGAUCAGUCCCUUCUCUGUAGCCACCUGUGCUCCACAGGUGAGAGUUCCAGGGACAGGCUGAGAAGCUGGCAGUGCCCGGCUGGCCUGCCUGUGUCCUACUCUAGGGGCCAAUUAAGUCUCUAUCCCUAGCUGCGCUGAUUAACAGCUAAUAAGGCAGCAAACACCUGCAGCUAUGGAGGCGAAUUAAGAGCAACAGUCGGCAUAAUACACAACCCGAUAAGUGAGCAAUUAACAACCGGAGAAAGAUUAAUAGAAGCAAUUAUGUCCUACUCGGAGCUCUGUAAAUACGACUGUCAACCACCGGGGAAUUCAGUCCAGUCUCACCUGGCCCCACCCUGGCCAUCGCCUCUGCUGGCAGUGGAGACACUUGAGCUAGUCUGUAGAGACUGGACCACACAGCCAUUGACUCAUGGGGCACGCCCAGAUAUGUACACAUAUGUAUAUACAUCCAGGCAUAUAGAGAAAUGGCCCAUAGAACAUAGUUGCACAGACAUGCCCCAACCGUAAAACUCACAUCCCCACAGAUGGAGAUGGGUAGACACAGACACAUAGAAAUCCUUCCAGAAAUGCACACAGUCCUUCAGAAAAAUGCCCUCUGACACUCCCAUGUCACACAGAGCUAGAAAUAAAUAGUAUAUGGUGCAUAUAGUAGCCUAAAUAUAGACAUAUAAACACACAGCUUCAUACACAUGAGGUCAUAUUUGCAUACAUACCAUGUUUGCCAUCUCCCGAUGGCCACCUUGCUUAGGGUCAUCUUAGUGAGGGCUAAAGCAUGGGAGAUGUGGCUUGAAGGUAGGAAGGGACAGGAGGGGACAGAAUGUGUGUAAAUAUAUAUGCAAGGAUGAUGCAUGCUUAUGCUUCUAAGCAUUCACACAUGCUGACAUGUGCGAACAUGUCAUCAGUUUGUAGAUAUGUUCCAACAUGUCAGCAUGCAUGCACCUGUAUAUUUACAUUUAUAUUAACCUAUAUUGAUGUGUCAUGAUGUAAACAUGAUUGUGUGUUCUUCAUGUGCUUGGGUCUGGUAGAUCUGUGACUCUCUCUCUCUCUGUGUGUGUGUGUAUGUGUGUGUGUGCAUGCGUGACUCAUACUCAGUUUCUGCAUAGUACUACUGUCCAUGAGAGGGGAUUUACAUGUGACCUGUCUCUCUAUGGGGCUGAAUGAGGGAAGGGUGCCUUGAGGAAUCUAGGAAUUCUGGUGAUCCAUGGAUCCUGUGCAGCUAGAGUCCACCUCCAGGAAGUGGAGCUUGAGGAGAGUUAGGGAGUCCUUAGGGGCUCUUUGGUUAAUUUGGAUUUCCUUAUAGGGUCUUCCAUCUGCUCUAAAGAAAUGGACCUGAAGGUUCUUCUGAUCUGAAUGAAGUUCCCAUGGAAACCCCUCAGACUGGGAAGCUGAGGCAGGAGAAUGCUAUCUUAGUGUUACUGUUGCUGUAAUGAAACCAUCAUGGCCAAAAGCAAUUUUCUUCGGAUUACACUUCCACGUGAACUCAAACAAGGCAGGAGCUGAGGCAGAGGCCAUGGAGGAGUGCUGCUCACUGGCUUGCUCCCCAUGGCUUGUUCAGCCUGCUUUCUUAAAGAACUCUGGACCACCAGCCCAGGGAUGGCCCCGCCCACAACAGGCUGGGCCCUCCCAGAUCAAUCACUAAUUGAGAAAAUGACCUACAGGCAGAUCUUGUGGAGGCAUAUUCUCAAUUAAAGAUCCCUCCUUUUGGAUAACUUUAGCUUGUGUCAAGUUGACCUAAGAUUAGCCAUCACAGGUGACAAGUUCAAGACCAGCCUAACCUACAGAGUGAGUUCUAGGCUGAAAUUAUACAAACAAAACUAAUAUUCAAGGCCAGGGCUGGGAAGAUAGUUCAACUAGUCAGAUACUUGCUGUGCAAGCAAUGGGAGCCUGAGAUCAACCUUCAGAACCCACAGUGCUAGAGAGGCAGGCAGAGUCAGGAGGAUCCCUGGCCUCACUGGCCAGGCACCCUCACAUAAUCUGCAAGUCCCAUGUUCCCUUGAGAUACCCUGCCUUGUUUCAAAAACAGAGCAAAACCAAGCAGAACCCACAAUGAACAGUUCCUGGAAAACACUGUCUAAACUUGCCCUUUGUCCUUACACAUACACACACACACACACACACACACACACACACACACACACACAUACACAUACACACACACAUGAAUACUGCUCCCACUCCAAAACUAUCCACACCCACCAAGUCUCCAGUCUGGGAAACACACCAUCAUACAUAAAAAUCCUGCUGUAAAAGGAUACAGGCCAACAUGUAAACAUAGGAAAUCAUGAAUGUAGACACAGGGAAUGCUCCUUGCAGAUACACCAGGACCUAUCCACCAUGCCUCGGCCCUCUCUCACACAAUAUUACACCCAUAGGCCCACACACUGUCAUUGUCUGAAGUGAGCCUAGGGCUAGCCCUAGAACUCAGAGGGUGUCCAUGGACAGGUCCCCCCACUUCCCUCAACCUCCGACUGACCAGAUGAUGGAAGCUGCCACAUCCCAAGAGAACUCUCCAUCACUGCUAGCCUGCCUGCUGAUAGGCAGGUGCACUGAGGCCCGGCUGUGCAGAAGGGGUGACGUGUAAAUAAGAUAACGAUAACGAGGCCCACCAGCACCUCCUCCAGCCUCCACACCCAACACCAGGAUAGACCGUGAGUUGGCUCCGAGCCUCCCCUACACUCAGACCUCUGCAGGAUGCAAAAGCACCCUGGGCUUAGAUGGAUGCUAACUCCCACUGGGAAGAGGGAAGAACCACCUCCCAAAGCCAGGAUUGGGAGACCACAGGCAGCCCGCUACUCCCCUGCUGACCACUGAUCAAUGAAAGUCAACAGAAUGUCAGACAGAGAAGCAGAUCUGGGGACCCCACAAAUCUAUCACAAAACAUCUGCUUGAUGGACUCUCCCACCCAGUCCCUCCGGCCUAGUCUUUGUGAGUCAGUCUCGUUUUCAUUCAUUCGUUCACUCAUUCAUUUGUCCAUCCAUCCAUCCAUCCAUCCAUCCAUCCAUCCAUCCAUCCAUCCGUUUGUCUUCUAACUUAUUCUGCCAAUAAAAACAUGAAGGAAACCAUGACAUUUAGUGACCCUGCUUCUUCUGGAUGCUGGUCGGGACAUACAGAGUGGGUGAGGGGCAGACAUGACCUGGACCGGCAGGGAUGAGCGGAAGGGAUAUCUCAGACUCUCCUUCUUCCUCAGUUUCUUGAGAUGCAAGAGGAGGGGCCACUUCUGCAGCUGGAGGGAAAAGCACCAAAUCCCAGGGCGGUGGAUAAUAAUAGCUGCCGAGAUGCGCUCUCCCGUACGUACGCGGUUCUAAGUGCUUUCCAUGAAUUAACUGAGUACAUCGGUGCAGCAACCCACAGAGGCAGCUACUAUUAUUAACCCCGUUUGUGGUCACGGGGAGGUUAAGUAACUUGGCCAAGGUCAAACAGCUUGUCAGAGCCAUCCCAAGUGUUUAAAGCAUUCCAAAGGAGGCAGCUCGCCUUCCAGCUCCUCCCCUAUCCUGCAGCUCCUGGGGCCUUCUGUGUAUGCCCUCAGACACCUCUGCAUUUCAGUUCAUUGCUAGUCCCAUUCCUCCCAAGUAGCUCCUCUUUGAGGUGAGGAGAUGACCCCACAGGCUCUAUUGGCUGGCUUCUGGUAGUUUGGAGGGCAGAAAUCUGGGGUCCCAGGUUGAGGUUCAGGGUAUUCAAAAGGGCUGGAGUCCCAGGUAACACAACCCUUUGAUCCUGUGGACCCAUGAAACCGUUAACUCUAGCAGAAAAAGGCUGAGAAGUGGAGGCAUCUAAAGUAGAGGACCCAGGGAUAUCUGUUGCUUGGGGUCUUAGAGUCCUGGAGGUGGUUCGUAAGUGA